GACGAACGCUGGCGGCGUGCCUAAUACAUGCAAGUUGAGCGCUGAAGGUUGGUACUUGUACCAACUGGAUGAGCAGCGAACGGGUGAGUAACGCGUGGGGAAUCUGCCUUUGAGCGGGGGACAACAUUUGGAAACGAAUGCUAAUACCGCAUAAAAACUUUAAACACAAGUUUUAAGUUUGAAAGAUGCAAUUGCAUCACUCAAAGAUGAUCCCGCGUUGUAUUAGCUAGUUGGUGAGGUAAAGGCUCACCAAGGCGAUGAUACAUAGCCGACCUGAGAGGGUGAUCGGCCACAUUGGGACUGAGACACGGCCCAAACUCCUACGGGAGGCAGCAGUAGGGAAUCUUCGGCAAUAGACGAAAGGCUGACCGAGCAACGCCGCGGGAGUGAAGAAGGUUUUCGGAUCGUAAAACUCUGUUGGUAGAGAAGAACGUUGGUGAGAGUGGAAAGCUCAUCAAGUGACGGUAACUACCCAGAAAGGGACGGCUAACUACGUG
rnacentral:rRNA from 1 species